AACGUAGGAGACAAACGUUAUCCGGAGUUACUGGGCGUAAAGGGCGUGUAGGUGGUUGCGUAAGUCUGGCGUGAAAUUUCUCGGCUUAACCGAGGCAGGUCGUCGGAUACUGCGUAACUGGAGGACGGUAGAGGCGUGUGGAAUUCCGGGUGUAGUGGUGAAAUGCGUAGAGAUCCGGAGGAACACCAGUGGCGAAGGCGACACGCUGGGCCGUACCUGACACUGAACCGCGACAGCAUGGGGAGCAAACAGG
rnacentral:rRNA from 1 species